CUUAACUCCCACUGGCUCACAGAGAGAUGGCUCCAAGUUAACUAGGUUUGUUGGGUAUGUGACUAGUUCAUAGCUUUAUCAUUUUUGAUGCACUCAAGCAUUUCAGAACUCAGGUUAACCUCUGUGCAGAAGUGGAACAUAUUUGUGUAAAUAUAAUCCUUAAUUGAUUCAAAUGUGCCACUUGUUCAAGACCGUGUGAACCCAUAUUCUUAUGCUCUCCUCAUAUUUUCUCAACAAGGGACAAAGGAAUGCUUCAUAACCUCUGGUUUUAUUUCUUAACAGCAGCCGGUGGGGUGAUUGAGGUAUAGAGCAAUGCUAUCAGUAAAUGCAAGUUUGUUGCAGAGAAAAAUUUAACUGGUGAACUGGCUGCUCCACCUACUCCUCCAGACUUUUUCUAUGCAUAACCCCGGUUCACACAUAAUUUUUUGUGAUUGCUGACAUCUCUGUCUGUAGUAGGGAAAACAGACUGAGACUAACCCUAGCAGAAGGAGGCCCUUAAAUGUGCACACACCUGGUGAAGCUCCUGCUGAUACCCGUCCAAAGAAAUCCUAUGUUAGCAUUUGACGCACU
rnacentral:lncRNA from 1 species